CCCUGUUAGACUACAACUCCCAGAAUCCUCUCCCCCUACAUGAAGUGUUACACUCCCUGCAGGUCCUCCAGCAACAGAUUUCAAAAUGGCUGCUUAGACUCCUGCCCUUUAAGCCUUGGCAGGUGCUCCUGGGAAGGAGCUCCCCCUCCACAACUGCUCCCUAAACACUUUGGUUCCUGCUCUUUAUAGGUCCCCCCAAGAACAGGCAGAAAUAACCGUCCAGAAGGAAGAAAAAGGGCUGAAAUCCAUAUCCACUCAGCCAGAUCUGCAGAAAACCUGGGAGGAAUUAGAAAAUCUAAAAGAGAAAUUCACCAGGCUGCAGGACGAGUAUAUGAAUACACGGAGCACCAACAAGUUGCUGGAAGAGAAACUUCAGAUUAUUGCUCAGAGCAUGGCCGACGAGAGGCUGAAUUUGAACCAGCGGAUCAAUGAGCUACUGGAGCGACUUCUCAGCGCACAAGACACCAUUUCCACCUUGGAGAAAAUUAACGUGAGUCCUUGCAGCUGAAGGGGGGGGGGUGGCGGCUGGAGGCGAUGGAAGAGAGACCCUCUAGACCAGCAGUUGGGUGAAGGAACCAAGAUGGAAUAGGAGCUAAGCCUAAGUGCAUCACUGUGAUAAGCAGGAUAUGGAAGGGGAAAGAAUCAAGAGAAAAAAGGGCUCUUGCACUUUUAGUUUUAGCAGGGUAGCUUGCUGCUAAAGGUGCAAAAGCCUUACUUUCUUUUGCACCUGGCUCUCCCCAGCAGGGAAAGCUUCACAUCUUCCCCUGCUGGCAACAUUCUAGGUCUGCCCUAAAACAAAUUCACUCAACUCUUCUGACUCUGCUCAUUUUUUAAAAAACUCUCUGCUUGCCUCGUAGUGAAAUAACUUGAAUUUCGCCCCUGGAUCUCCAAUUCAAAUUGGUUUGAAAUUAAUUAAGACUUCAAGGCAGCUAUGAAUUUGAAUUAACUGGCCACACAGAGAGAGGAGGAAAUUGGUUGGAUAGCCUUGUUUGCAGCUUGUUAACCUGCCUCUCUUGUAUCCCUGCGGGAAGCUCCUGAGAAGCUGUAAAGAAUGCUGAUCUGAUUUCCUCUCCUUGUUUCCUUUUUCUCUUUCUCUAAGUCCUUCCCCCACUUUGUUUAGAUGCCC
rnacentral:lncRNA from 1 species